AGGAGGGUUUCAUCCAGACUGGACAAGCUUACAUCAGAAAUAAAGCUAGUGGAGAUCUGCACAGAUGCUCAUGCCCAGAUUGGUGCCCUUAUGAACCCAGACAAAGGCAAAUACAAGGCCCUUGGAAUUCAUCACAGUCUGGACAUGUGGCAUGGUGCAGAUAGUUGUGAACAUCUAUCUGCGAUUCAGAUCGACUGCAGACCUAGAGUCAUUCCAGAAUCAUAUCCUGAUGUAUGCCAGCAAGCGCUAUGCUUUCAGCCCCCCAGUUUAUGAGGCAAGAGUUCUGCUUGCUGCUUUGGACUACAAUUUCCACCGGAACAGACCAACAAUGAAAACGUUGGACGGC